rnacentral:rRNA from 1 species
UACGUAGGUGGCAAGCGUUGUCCGGAUUUACUGGGCGUAAAGGGCGUGCAGGCGGUCUGUUAAGUGCAGGGUGAAAGCUCCCGGCUCAACUGGGAGAGGUCCUUGCAUACUGGCGGACUUGAGGGGGGUAGAGGAAAGUGGAAUUCCCGGUGUAGUGGUGAAAUGCGUAGAUAUCGGGAGGAAUACCAGUGGCGAAGGCGGCUUCCUGGCCUGUUCUUGACGCUGAGGCGCGAAAGCUAGGGUAGCAAACGGG